GCUGCUGUAGGGUGGGAGGAGAGAGGUGUUACCUUAUCAGCUGCCUUCUUUCCCAUCCUCUCUUUCUGCAACAGC
rnacentral:pre_miRNA from 1 species